CCUACGGGAGGCUGCAGUAGGGAAUCUUCCACAAUGGGCGAAAGCCUGAUGGAGCAACGCCGCGUGGGUGAAGAAGUAUUUCGGUAUGUAAAGCUCUAUCAGCAGGGAAGAAAUAGCGACCUUUGGGUCGCCAGACGGUACCUGAUUAAGAAGCCCCGGCUAACUACGUGCCAGCAGCCGCGGUAAUACGUAGGGGGCAAGCGUUAUCCGGAUUUACUGGGUGUAAAGGGAGCGUAGACGGCAGCGCAAGUCUGAAGUGAAAUGCCGGGGCUUAACCCCGGAACUGCUUUGGAAACUGUGCAGCUAGAGUGCAGGAGAGGUAAGUGGAAUUCCUAGUGUAGCGGUGAAAUGCGUAGAUAUUAGGAGGAACACCAGUGGCGAAGGCGGCUUACUGGACUGUAACUGACGUUGAGGCUCGAAAGCGUGGGGAGCAAACAGGAUUAGAUACCCGGGUAGUC
rnacentral:rRNA from 1 species